UUGGAGCCAUUGUGAAUACCAUUGGGUACUAUGUGGUUGGCCUCCCCAUCGGGAUCGUGCUGAUGUUUGCAACCACACUUGGAGUGAUGGAGCAGUGCCCCGUGUGCUCACCAAGCAGCAUGGCUGGAUCCUUGGAGGGCAAUGGGUGGCCAGUGCCCUUCUCAUCACCCUCAUCGCACUCCGCAGCCUCCACCUCCCUCCUUGUGCAGCCUUAGCUCUGUGCCCCCACAGAGCUCCCCACAAGGCCAUACACGUGAUCGGUGUGAACAGCACAGAAGGAAGGGGGUGGACUUGAGCACCUUCCCACAUUUGGAAGAAAAAACUUAAUCCACAGCAUCUGAAAUUACCAGAGCUAAUCUUUUUAAAAAGUACGGAAAUAAAUGACUGCCCAGCUUUGAUUUCUAAAAUAAUAAUUUGGAACAUAUUGGCAGUUAAUAAAUGAUGAUAUGAAAACC
rnacentral:sRNA from 1 species